AUAGCUGAUUGCACCAACAAAUAGUUGAUGCAAUAUUGACUCUGUCAAAUAAAAUUCUAGGUAGAAUUAUGAUAAUGACAUUGUCUGCCUAUAUGUCUUGACCAAAUUACGUGCCAGCAGUCGCGGUAAUACGUAGAAGACUAGUGUUAUUCAUCUUUAAUAGGUUUAAAGGGUACCUAGACGGUAAAUCAAGCCUUCACAGGGACUAAUUUACUAGAGUUACUUACGAGGGGGUAUUAAAGUACUGCAGGUGUAGAGAUGAAAUUCUGUCAUACCUCUUUUCAAAAGAAAAAUUAUGGCACAGGUAUAGGUGAAAGCAUCCCCUUAUGUGAUAACUGACGUUGAAGGACGAAGGCUUUGUGUCGCGAACAGGAUUAGAUACCCCAGUAGUCAAAGCAGAAAAUGAUGAAUGUCAUAGAUUAGAUAAAUAGUUUAUUCUAUAAAUGAAAAUGUAAGCAUUCCACCUCAAGAGUAAUUUGGCAACAUUGGAACUGAAAUCAUUAGACCGUUUCUGAAACCAGUAGUGAAGUAUGUUGUUUAAUUUGAUGAUCCGCAAAAAACCUUACCACAAUUUGAAUAUUUAUAUCUAUCUUUUUUUUUUCGUAAAAAAAUAAAAAGGUAAUAUAUUUACAAGCGUUGCACGGCUGUCUUCAGUUAAUGUCGCGAGACUUUGGUUAGUUCCAUUAAAUUAACGUAAACCCUUACUUUAUUUUUAUAUGAAGUAGUUCCCCGCUAUAUUGGAUAUGAUAACAGGGA
rnacentral:rRNA from 1 species